ACAAAAUCGGCACUUGACGCCCAUGAAGACACUGCUACUUCCCAGGCGGCAUGUCCCCGCACACGGUUCCUAAGAGUUCCACAGACGCUCUGUCUUUGAAGAUCCACGUGACUCUUGCAGCAGAACUAAAACAGAUGCUGACUGAAGACAGAUUUCUGGGUCCAAGACAAAGGAUUUCAUUACUCACUGCAUAGCAAGAAGCACACGAAGCCUGCUGGUGCUGGUUCUCUAUGCCCCCCACGACCCAUGGAGGCAACACGGAAGAACCAAGGUAGACACGCAUUCCCUCUGUCAUAUCCUGCUCUGCCGGGUAUCUGUUGUAUCUAGAUGAGAGAGAAAACAGGAAAUGAAGCAGGUAAUUAGCGCGGGCAAACUACCAUCACCAAGGAGGAUCCAGGGCCACGGCUUUCUGAUCAGAGGUUUGGGGAUCAGUGAAGAA